rnacentral:tRNA from 1 species
AAGCUUAUAGCUCAAUUGGUAGAGCAGUCGGUUGAUAAUCGAAAGGUUGAUGGUUCGAAUCCUUCUUAGCUUA